rnacentral:rRNA from 1 species
GUGGGGAAUCUUCCGCAAUGGACGAAAGUCUGACGGAGCGACGCCGCGUGAGUGAUGAAGGCCUUCGGGUCGUAAAGCUCUGUCAUCGGGGACGAAUGGUCGUUGGAGUGGAAAGCCAGCGAAAUGACGGUACCCGAGAAGGAAGCCACGGCUAACUACGUGCCAGCAGCCGCGGUAAUACGUAGGUGGCAAGCGUUGUCCGGAAUUAUUGGGCGUAAAGCGCGGGCAGGUGGGAUCUUAAGUCCAUUUUGAAAGUUCGGAGCUCAACUCCGUGAUGGGAUGGAAACUGGGAUUCUUGAGUACCGGAGAGGAAAGCGGAAUUCCCCGUGUAGCGGUGAAAUGCGUAGAUAUGGGGAGGAACACCAGUGGCGAAGGCGGCUUUCUGGACGGUGUCUGACACUGAGGCGCGAAAGCCAGGGGAGCGAACGGGAUUAGAAACCCUGGUAGUCC